UGCUUAAGAAAGAUGCAAAUUCGUGAAGCGUUCCAUAUUUUU
rnacentral:snRNA from 1 species